GUGCCAGCCGCCGCGGUAAUACGUAGGAAGCAAGCGUUAUCCGGAUUUACUGGGCGUAAAGUGGACGUAGGCGGUCUUUCAAGUCGGAUGUGAAAUCUCCUGGCUUAACUGGGAGGGGUCAUCCGAUACUGUUGGACUAGAGGACAUCAGGGGAAGGUGGAAUUCCCGGUGUAGUGGUGAAAUGCGUAGAUAUCGGGAGGAACACCAGUGGCGAAGGCGGCCUUCCAGGAUGUUUCUGACGCUGAGGUCCGAAAGUGUGGGGAGCGAACAGGAUUAGAUACCCUCGUAGUCC
rnacentral:rRNA from 1 species